CAAUAGCGUAUAUUAAAGUUGUUGCAGUUAAAAAGCUCGUAGUUGGAUUUGUGGCGUACGGUGUGUUCCGGGCACUUGUUGUCUGAGUAACCUGCUGUUGCCAUCCUUGGGUGGAACCUGUGUGGCAUUAGGUUGUCGUGCAGGGGAUGCCCAUCAUCUACUGUGAAAAAAUUAGAGUGUUCAAAGCAGGCUUAUGCCGUUGAAUAUAUUAGCAUGGAAUAAUGAGAUAGGACUUUUUUGCUAUUUUGUUGGUUUGCGCAAAGAGGUAAUGAUUAAUAGGGACAGUUGGGGGUAUUCGUAUUCCAUAGUCAGAGGUGAAAUUCUUGGAUUUUUGGAAGACGAACUACUGCGAAAGCAUUUACCAAGGAUGUUUUCAUUAA
rnacentral:rRNA from 1 species